AGGAUUAACGCUGGCGGCGUGCCUAACACAUGCAAGUCGGACGAGGUAGCAAUACCUAGUGGCAGACGGGUGAGUAACGCGUGGUCAACCUACCGUUGAGCGGGGGAUAACUAGCCGAAAGGUUAGCUAAUACCGCAUACGUCUAGCACGGCAUCGUGCAAAGAUAAAAGCCGCAAGGCACUCGACGACGGGACCGCGUCCCAUUAGUUAGUUGGUGGGGUAAUGGCCUACCAAGACUCCGAUGGGUAGCUGGUUUGAGAGAGCGACCAGCCACACUGGGACUGAGAAACGGCCCAGACUCCUACGGGAGGCAGCAGUGAGGAAUUUUCCGCAAUGGGCGAAAGCCUGACGGAGCGACGCCGCGUGUGGGAAGAAGGCCUUCGGGUCGUAAACCACUGUCGAAGGGGAAGAUAUUGACGGUACCCUUGGAGGAAGCCCCGGCUAACUACGCGCCAGCAGCCGC
rnacentral:rRNA from 1 species